rnacentral:rRNA from 1 species
CAGUCGCCACGGUAAUACGAACCGUGCAAACGUUACUCGGAAUCACUGGGCUUAAAGCGCACGUAGGCGGCGACAUAAGUUAGAGGUGAAAUCCCAUCGGCUCAACCGUGGAACUGCCUCUAAUACUGUGUUGCUUGAGGGAGAACGGGGCAUUCGGAACUUCCGGUGGAGCGGUGAAAUGUGUUGAUAUCGGAAGGAACGCCGGUGGCGAAAGCGGAAUGCUGGGUCUCUUCUGACGCUGAGGUGCGAGAGCUAGGGUAGCGAACGGGAUUAGAUACCCCCGUAGUCCCUGUCUCUUAUA